ACUUAAUGCCCAUCGUCAUUUCAAACCCUAAACACGUACCCUUGAGUUUGAGCGCAGACACACUUUCUCUCUCUGUCAACUCCAUUGCUCAUGCGUCCUUUCUCUCGCCUCACAAAACCGGACCAGCAACCAUGAUUUAGAGUAUGAAUUGAUGGAAUUGUGUCGGGUGAAUUUGCAUUGAUCAAGCUCAUUGUAUUACAAAGAUUUGCAAUUAUGUGGGAAGUUCAGAUCUGAAAGCAAUUUUUUUUCCAGGUUGAUUAAUGAUUCAACCAAAGAUGAAUUUUCAGGACGUGUUGGGUUCCUCGGUUUGGGAAAGCUAUUUCUUUCUCUGUUCCAUCUAAGGAUAAUUCAUCAUGUAUUGGUCGUAUAUAUCACGCUGAAAGUGCUGCUGAAAUAAAAUUUUCUGAUGUUUAUGCUACCGAGUUAGAUGAUUGGGGAUCGGUUCGUCAAUUGAUUAAAUGUUGCUUUCUGCAUCACGAUUCAGAGGUGAUUGGGGAUCGUUCGUCAAUUGAUUAAAUGUUGCUUUCUGCAUCACGAUUCAAAGAAAUUUGAAGACUAGGAGAAUAUUUGAUGAAUUAAUGCCAAAUCGAGAUCUCGCCACCCCUGAUGAUAUUAUCGACUUUGGGCAACGAUUUCGGCACUAUUCUGGCAGUUUUGGGCGUGGGAUUGUGUGCGUGGUGUUUUAAUUGUGUGUGAGGGUUUGUGAUGUGAUUAUGUUUUGUUGCUCUAAUGUACGAAGUUGAUAUAAUUUUUAAUUUUACUCUUCAAACAUUUUCAUGUUCUCUAAUAGAUUGUUAAAUUGAUGUGAUUCAGUACAUGAAUUGAUGUAGUUUCUGA